rnacentral:lncRNA from 1 species
GCAGUCCUGGUUGGUGCUAUUAUUGCUACUUGGAUUUGGUCAGAGAAAAAGGAGUUGAGAGACAAGUGGAGGUGAAUGAGGCCUCAAUGUUCUGAUGCGGACGAAAUUUUGGGCCCUAGUCAGAUAUGCGCUGCUUCCCCUUUUCAUUUUAGUGCUAGAGUUUGUUUCACUUUUGACCAGGCCUUUAUUCAUGUAACCAUUUGACAACAAAGCCUAUCUGCUGUGAAUUGACAC